rnacentral:rRNA from 1 species
GACGAACGCUGGCGGCGUGCCUAAUACAUGCAAGUAGAACGCUGAAGGAGGAGCUUGCUUCUCUGGAUGAGUUGCGAACGGGUGAGUAACGCGUAGGUAACCUGCCUGGUAGCGGGGGAUAACUAUUGGAAACGAUAGCUAAUACCGCAUAAUAUUGACUAUUGCAUGAUAGUCAGUUGAAAGGUGCAACUGCACCACUACCAGAGGGACCUGCGUUGUAUUAGCUAGUUGGUGGGGUAACGGCUCACCAAGGCGACGAUACAUAGCCGACCUGAGAGGGUAUCCGCCACACUGGGAAUGGGACACGGCCCAGACUUCUACGGGAGGCAGCAGGAGGGGAUCUUCGGCAAUUGACGGAAGUCUUACCGAGCAACGCCGCGUGAGUGAAGAAGGGUUUCGGAUCGUAAAGCUCUGUUGUUAGGGAAGAACGAGUGUGAGAGUGGAAAGCUCACACUGUGACGGUAUCUAACCAGAAAGGGACGGCUAACUACGUG